ensembl:lncRNA
CCCCCUCAGAUUCUAGAUUUUCAAAUAGUUGUAUCUCAGCCAAAUAUUGUCCACCUAACAACCCAUACAUCAAUGGAAAGCUUAUUUAUUUAGCUUUCAUAUGAUGUUUAAAUCUUAAUUUCAAAAAAAUUGACCCUUAUGACUGGUUUUGUGGUCCAGGGUCACAUAUAUUACUAGCAUAUUGGCUGUUUAUUAGUACUUUGUGUUUUUUGUUAUUUCUGUUUUUGUGAAUGUUUUAUUUCAGUUUUAGUUAUAAAGUUAUAGUUUAGUUAUAUAGUUUUAACUAUAAUAACCCUGGGCUGUUCAGUUGAUUUGAACAUUUCGACACACUUACGGUGUCCAAAAAUGCUAUCAAGGUAGCCUUGAGAGCUUUUCCACACUAUAAAGCACAAUAGGUUUUGAAGCACAGUCUGUUUAUUGCUCAGUUGUGUUGUCUGUUGUGUGUCAGUGUAAAUUUCAAAAGGACGAGCUGUGUGAUCUGUGAGAGGUGGUGCAGCGAUGGCAGCAGGAGGUGCAGGAGCAGAAGGAGAGCCGGGUAAAGGAGGUGCAGGCCCUUAAGGAAGAGCUGCAGAGCACACAAAGUUGUCUGCAGCAGCACAGAGAUACAGCCCACAGACAGCAGAGAGACACGGAGGAUGAGGAUACAGAGUUGAUUCAACUAAAGGCAGGUCUGCUGGAGGCUGAGAAACUAGACACAGAGGCACGACUGCAACCUCUUACCGAAUCCCUAGAGCUCUGCCAACACAAGUACCAGGCCUGCCUCAGCAAGAUCACACAACAAGAGAACACUCUGCAUAGCCACGAGGAGGACCUGAAAGAGGCCCACAAUCAGGUGGCAAAGAGGGAAGAGCAGGUCCUCCGUCUGAGGGCUCAGGUUGUAGCUCAGCAGGUACACUGCGCCCAGCUGGAGAGUGGAGACGAUGCCCUCACCGCUCUGAGCCAGCAGCUCCGAGACACGCUGGGAGAACUGGAGCACAGUCGUAAACACAGCCAGGAGUGUGAGCUGCUCAUCAGCACUCUCAGAGACACUGCUGCUACCCGUCUCUGACAGAGGUGCAGCGACUGCAGGAGCAGGUGAGAAAGCUCCAGGUGGAUGCAGCAGAUGAGGGCUGGAGACAAGCACAAGUUGAUUCUCUGGAACAGAAGGUAGCUAGUCUGGAAGGAGAACUACUGGCAGCUCAAAGGCAGUGUGACCAGGCUAUCCAAAAGAGAGACGCCCUACUUAGACAAUCCGAGGCUGAUCUUCUGCAGGCGUGGGAGAAGAUCCGAAGCAAGGCGGCGGAGGCAGAGAGACAGGCCGUCUCUGCUCGAGGGCUAGAAGCUGAUCUGUAGAAACCCAAGAAAGAGAAAAGGCGAAGGGAGAAAGAGUGCGCCUCACUCAAAACACAGAUGCUUCAGCUCAGAGAACAACUGAAGGAGGCUUACACCACCCGUAGAGACAUGGCAGUCUCCUGUCUGAAAUGAAACAGCCCAUCAAUUCAGAGCCUCAAGACAUCAGCUGCAUGCACAUCUUCACACACACCACUGUGGGAAUGAUGCUCGUUAGAAACAAUAUCCUCAGCACAGAUGAAGACGGGCAGAUGUGGCCAAGGAGCUGACGCAGCAGCAGGAGAAAGUGCAGCUGUUGGAGAGAGGCCAGUGUCUGGCUCAGGAGCAGCUCUCAGAGAGAAAGCUCAGAGGAGACUCCAGGCAGAGCUCAAGAGAAUAACAGACAGUCUGGAAAGCACCCACCAGGAGCUACAGGACUCACGGAGGCUGCUGGAGCGUGUGAAGACAGAGGCCAGCAGCAGCAGACAGGAAGCCCUGAGACUCCGGCAGGAGAAACAGCAGAUCCAGGAAGAGCUGGAUGUCAACAGAGAGACCCUCUCAGCCCUGAAGACUAAAGCCGGGUGUGUGAGGGGCGACUGGUGGAGCUGCACACCCAGCAGCAGAUGACAGCCCUGCAGGCCAGAGACGAGGAAGUGCUCAUGCUAAAGAUGUGACAGCUCCUGACUUCACAGGGAAAGCAAGCUUGUCGUGACCAACGUGAACCAGUGGAUGAAGGAGCAAAGUGAAGAAAGAGGCAGAGGAAGAAGAAAGCACUUCCUGACCACCUGCAGCGCAAGUCUGUGCCAGUCAAUGCCUGUGUCUGGAUCGAAGUCAAUGACUACAGAACGGUUUUCUGCAAACCAGCUGUCUCUUGGAUCACUGACACGAUGAGUUCUAGAAAAACAUGAUUAUCAAAUGAUGGCUGAUAAUUGACCUUACUACAGAUAAAUGACUGACAGCCCAAAUAACAAAUCAAAUCAAUUCUCAGACUUUUGUCUGUCAAACAAAAGUCGCCUGCACUUAACCAACUAAUACUAGUACUUACCUUUUUUUCUUUUUCUUUUCUAUCAUAUUCCAAAAAAAAAAACGAACAAAAAAAAAAACCCUGGCUACGUGUUCUGUACUAGACUAACUGAGACUUGUCAUAGCACUUGUAUACCGUUGUUGUUUUCUCGUUGAUCUGAUUGUUUCUACUGUUCUCAUUUGUAAGUCGCUUUGGAUAAAAGCGUCUGCUAAAUGAUUAAAUGUAAAUGUAAAUGUAAAUGUAAAUGUAAACUGACUGAAUUGUAGAUUGCAUGAACAACUAAACUUCUGAAUGAUUGUCCAAAAGCGAAACAUCUCUAUGUUUGCUCAAAGGAAUAGUAGAAUAUAGAUUUUCAAGGUUAAAGGCAGGUGCACAGACCCCAAGUAGAUCAUGCAUGUGAAUUUUGAUCUUUCUGUUGUUAAUGCCAUGCUAUACUGUCUGAGCUUCAGAAAAGCACAUAAAAAAUCUAUCUUUAAAAUUUGGAAAAAAAAUAUUUAAAACAAUGUUUAUAAUAUUCACAUUUUGUAAAAAGCAGAUGUUUUAAAAAAUAUGUUAUGAGUUUUUUUGUUGUUGUUUUGUUUUGUUUUAUCAUAUGUUCUCAUGUUUACUUUUUUGUAAUGUGUGAAAAGUAUUAAUGUUAAAGGUUUACUAUUUAUCCCUGAUUUUUUUCUCAGAGUGUGAUUUUGGGUUAAUUGUAUUGAUUUAAUUUAGGAUCAAUUGACUCAGAACGUAAUUAUAUCCAGAAUUUUAACAUUAUACAAGUGAUAAAUAGCACUUGUUGUUCUUAAGGACAUUUACAUUCAUAGAAAAACACACACAAAAUGCAUUUGUCCUGUUUGCAUCUGCAGAAAGCAUCCAUUACAUAAUUUUCCUGUUUAUUAAUGUCAGUAUUUAUGACAACAACUGUCUGACUUCUUUACACUUGGCUAGAUUUUCCCUGGUAAUGUCACUAUUUUCUCAUCUUCUACCAUUAUAUUUAGUAUUUCGGCAUAAUAACCUGGAACAAAACCCUGUGCUUUCUGUUUUUUCUGCACAAUGAUUUGAGGUAUUUUAUUCCAAAGUCAUCAGGUGCAUCAUUCGCAUGUACAUCACCUGUUUGAGAAGCAGCGGCAGUGGUUAAGUUAUUGCUGUCGUAAGGUCAGUUGGGUCACUAUACCUUGUUGAUAACUCUUAAACCAGUCUAAGAUGGUUUGCAUGGUCUAAGUUGAUUUAUGAUUAUCUCUCAGCCUGACCAGAUUGCAUGAACAACUAAACUUCUGAAUUAUUGUCCAAAAGCUAAACAUCUCUAUGUUUGCUCAAAGGAAUAGUAGAAUAUAGAUUUUCAAGGUUAAAGGCAGGUGCAGGUCAACUGGUCUCUUCAAGCCUGACCAGCCAAAAAAUAGCUAAAACCAAACUAGGAGACCAGUUAAGACUUUCUUGGUCAAGCAGCUUCACCGGCACUAGAGCAACAAAGAGCAUAAACAAACCUGAACCAGCAUGAGAAUUCAUGACUAAACUGAACUAUUUAUCUGGAUACUCGUCUUAGAAAUGAUGAGAUCUCAUAUGUUGAUGAGACCUGAUUAUUUUCUGAAUAGCUCUGCACUAAGUAUCUGAUGCCCCUCGUGUUCAUUUAUAUACAGACAUCAGCUGCUGAUUUAUUUUUCUCUUUCAAAUUAAAUUUGCUGACAUGCAAUACUUCAUAUUUAAUGAACAUUCCGCUGUGAAUUUUGUGCCUAGUUACAUUUCAAGUUUACGGAGAUGAAUGAGAGUGUGAAUUCUAAUGGCAGGUAAAGUUUCAAUUCUGCUUCUGUCAUAGAUUGUGGUUUACAAAAGUUAAAGGUAAGGCUUGUAUUUGUUUAUGAAUCAAUCAUAUAAUAAUGCCUCAUAUCAGUCAGCCAGCAACAUUAAUAGCACUUUUAAAUGAUUAAAUAAUGCUGUGCCUUAUUCACUGUCAUCAUGCAUUUCCUAUAAACACAAAUCAGUCAAUAAAAGUGAUAUAUGUUUGUAUUUGGCAGCUUUUUUAACUAGUAAGGAUUAAAUGAAAUCAUUUCAGUAGAUGACUAUGAAGACAGUAGCAAAAGCAGAAAAAAAAAUGUCCUUACAUGUCAAGCGCAUGCUGUAAUAUUUCUGUUUCUGAUCACGAUGCUAUUUCGAAUAUUAUCCUCUUGCACAUAUGCAUGUGGAGAGCUUGUUGGUGAAUGAGAGCUUGAAGUGUUCUGAGUCAAUGAGAGUUGAACCCCAAGUGACAAGUUGUGAAAUCAAUAGACAACAGUCAAUACCCAACACUUAAGGUGCCUGUAGAAACUAAAGGAUGCCAAUAAUUGUUAUUAAUACUCCGGUUUUCCCAGAGCACUGUUUAAGGGCAAUUCUAGUGAAACAGACUUCUCAAACACAAUGGUGCCCUGAAGCUAUGCAACCAUAAUCACAUUCAAAACAAGGUUGUGAUAAUGUUGCAAAUAAUGAGGAAGGACUGUGAACAGCAAUGAACAGUAGCGUAAAUAAGUGG